CCUCCAGGGUCCGGCCGCCGCGCGCGCGGUGCCCACUCCAGCCGGGGCGCGUCGGGCUCCGGGUCACUCGGCCCGGGGCAGGCCUCACGCGAACCGAACUGAGAGGGGCCUGCAACCGUUCGGUAGGCCCUUGGGCGUGGAACGCGCCUCUCCCGCCCCACCCAGAGCAGAGAGCCCCGGGCGAAUGCGCCCGCCCGAGUCCCGAGGGAGCCAGGGAGGCCGGCCCGUCCAGCUGAGCGAGUCCGGGUUCCGCACCCGGAGCCGGCCGAGAAACCCAGAGGCCCCGCCACCCGCGACGCGAGGCGACACAGGCCUCGGAGCGGCGGGAGGCGUCUCCAGGGUGGGUCGGCAGCCCGAAGCCUGAGGAGGAGCGGCGCGGAGACCCGGAGGCUGCGCCAGGACAGCUCUUACUGUUUCACGUUGUCCCCUAGGGCCUCGCUCAAGUUCUUCUUGGCCGCCUCCAGCUCGCUCACAAAGGUCGCCAUUGCUCCCCACGUCUCAGCCCGACCGCAGACCGCUCUGCCACAGUGACCAACAACCGAAAAACCAAUUCGAGGCCCCUUCAAGCUUAUUCGUUUGUUCAGCAAAUACUAUUAUGUAUCUGGAACUCUAUUGUGGGCUGGAUUUACGAAGAUGAACGUGGCAGGUGUCUAUGAAAGUCUGGCCCCUGCUUGCUGAAUUCUUCCAAAAGCACUGGAUUUUUGUCAAUAGGAUUGGAUGUUGCUGGAGUUGUGAGAUGUCUCAGCUCUGGAGAUUAUGUUAUUACUGUCAUUCUCCCUCCCAGGUACCAUAUUUAGGAUUUUUAGACCUAUUUAUAAACCACUGACUCCUUGUUUACACUGGCUGGUGCCUACCGCAGAAGAAAUACUUGUUGACUGACUUUCUUAGUCCAUUCAUUAAAAUUGGCUUAUUAACCUUCUUCCCAGAGCACUGCCAGCAAAUGUGUGAGCUCUUCCAUUUCAGGCAUCAGCAGCUCUGCUUUACUGGAAGAACGCUUACAGUUCAGCUUUAAAAUAGUAUUGAUAAUAUUUUAGUUGCCCUGUUGAAUUUACCAUUAUAACAUUCACUAUAAUUUGUAAUACUUACUAUGUGGGCUAUGCAUUUAUAUACAGUUAUACACAAUGGUACAUAGGGGCUCACACUCAAUAUAUGUGUCUGUCAGAACAAAAUACUUUAGAAAAUUCUAUAUAGUAUUCUUCCUAAUCCAUAUCUAUAUUGAUGUACAGAGUUGAAUAUAGUUAAAGGUUAUAGACUAGUGGGGCACCUGGGUGGCUCAGUCGGUUAAGUGUCCAGCUCUCGAUUUCAGUUCAGGUCUUGAUCUCAGGGUUGUAAGUUCAAGCCCUGCAUUGGGCUCCAUACUGGGCAUGAAGCCUACUUAAGUAAAAAAAAAAAAAAAAAAAAGGUUAUAGACAAGAUUAUAUUAGACCCGAGUUAGAUUUAUGGCUGAAAACAAUUAGAGAGGCAGGUCACCCUGACACCACAUGUAUUUAUUUUAUGUCUGCCAGAAGGAGGUGAAGAGGUUCUUAAUCUUUUUUUAUGCCAUGGACUUCAUUAGCAGUCUGGUGAAGGCUUUGCAGCCCUUCUCAGAGUAAUCUUUCUAAAUGCAUGAACUACAUAGAGGGUUACAUUUUAAACAGUUUCAUUGGAACACAAUUCUAUCCUUGGGUCCCAGCUUCAAACCCUCUGAAGCUCUAUGGGUACUUAGUUUCCUCAGGCUGCUACAACAAAAUAUCAUAGACUAGGUGGUUUAAACAACAGAAAUUUAUUUUCUCACAGUUCUGGAAGCCAGCAAAUUUGGUUUCUUGUGAGGGUUCUGUUCCUGGCUUGUAGAUGACCAUCAUCUUUUUGUAUCUUCACAUGGCCUUUCGUGUGUGUGUG